ACGCUGGCGGCGUGCCUAAUACAUGCAAGUCGAACGGUCUUUCUAUGGAAGCUUGCUUCCACUGAGAAGAUAGUGGCGAACGGGUGGAGUAACACGUGGGUAACCUGCCCAUAAGAGGGGGAUAACAUCCGGAAACGGGUGCUAAUACCGCAUAGUUUUUCUUGAUCGCAUGAUCGGGAAAGGAAAGACGGCCUUUGUGCUGUCGCUUAUGGAUGGACCCGCGGCGUAUUAGUUAGUUGGUGAGGUAACGGCUCACCAAGACGAUGAUACGUAGCCGACCUGAGAGGGUGAUCGGCCACAUUGGGACUGAGACACGGCCCAAACUCCUACGGGAGGCAGCAGUAGGGAAUCUUCCGCAAUGGACGAAAGUCUGGCGGAGCAACGCCGCGUGAGUGAAGAAGGUUUUUCCGGGAUCGUAAAACUCUGUUGUCAGAGAAGAACAAGUUGGAGAGUAACUGCUCCAGCCUUGACGGUAUCUGACCAGAAAGCCACGGCUAACUACGUGCCAGCAGCAGC
rnacentral:rRNA from 1 species